rnacentral:rRNA from 1 species
GCGAAGGGGCGGCGUGCUAUAAUGCAGUCGAGCGGACUGAUGGGAGCUUGCUCCCUGACGUUAGCGGCCGCGGGUGAGUAACACGUGGGCAACCUGCCCUGUACAGUGGACUGACCUCACGAAAUCGGUGCUAAUACCGGAUAAUAUCGGAGAUCGGAUGAUCUGCUACUAAAAGAUGGCUCCGGCUAUGACUACGGGAUGGGCCCGCGGCGCAUUACCUAGUUGGUGAGGUAACGGCUCACCAAGGCGACGAUGCGAAGCCGACCUGACAGGGUGAUCGGACACACUGGGACUGAAACGCGGCCCAGACUCCUACCGGAGGGAACGCUACGGAAUCUUCCCCACUGGACUAAAGUCUGACGGAACAACGCCGCGUGACUGAUGAAAGGUUUCGGCUCGGAAAGCUCUGUUGUUAGGGAAGAACAAGUACCGUUCCAAUAGGGCGGUACCUUGACGGUACCUAACCUAAAAGCCACGGCUAACUACAUGCCAUCCCCCCCGGUAAUACGUAAGUGGCGUGCGUUGUCCGGAAUUAUUGUGCGUAAAGCGCGCGCAGGCCGUCUUUUAAUUCUGAUGUGAAAGCCCCCGGCUCAGCCGGGGAGGGUCAUUGGAAACUGGAAGACUUGACUACAGAACAGGAGAGUGGAAUGCCACUCGUAGCGUUGAAAUGCAUAGAUAUGUUGAGGAACGCAACUGGCGAAGGCAACUCUAUUGUCUGUACCUGACCCUAAGGCGAGAAACCGUGGCGAGCAAACAGGAUUAGAUACCCUGGUAGUCCCCGCGCUAUACGAUGAGUGCUAGGUGUUAGAGGUUUCGAUGCCCCUAGUGCCGAAGUUAACACAUUAAGCACUCUCCCUGGGGAGUACGAGCGCAAGGUUGAAACUCAAAGGAAUUGACGGGGGCCCGCACAAGCAGUGGAGCAUGUGGUUUAAUUUGAAGCAACGCGAAGAACCUUACCAGGUCUUGACAUCUUUAUGACCUCCCUAGAGAUAGGGAUUUCCCUUCGGGGACAUAAGUGUCAGGUGGUGCAUGGUUGUCGUCAGCUCGUGUCGUGAGAUGUUGGGUUAAGUCCCGCAACGAGCGCAACCCUUGAUCUUAGUUGCCAGCAUUUAGUUGGGCACUCUAAGGUGACUGCCGGUGACAAACCGGAGGAAGGUGGGGAUGACGUCAAAUCAUCAUGCCCCCUAUGACCUGGGGUACACACGUGUUACAAUGGAUGGUACAAAGGGCAGCGAAGCCGCGAGGUGGAGCCAAUCCCAUAAAGCCAUUCUCAGUUCGGAUUGUAGGCUGCAACUCUCCUACAUGAAGCCGGAAUUGCUAGUAAUCGCGGAUCAGCAUGCCGCGGUGAAUCCGUUCCCGGGCCUUGUACACACCGCCCGUCACACCACGAGAGUUUGUAACACCCGAAGUCGGUGCGGUAACCCCACUGGAGCCAGCCGCCUAAGCGCAGCAUAGCC